CCUACGGGAGGCUGCAGUGGGGAAUAUUGCACAAUGGGGGAAACCCUGAUGCAGCGACGCCGCGUGAGUGAAGAAGUAAUUCGUUAUGUAAAGCCCUAUCAGCAGGGAAGAAAAUGACGGUACCUGAGUAAGAAGCCCCGGCUAACUACGUGCCAGCAGCCGCGGUAAUACGUAGGGGGCAAGCGUUAUCCGGAUUUACUGGGUGUAAAGGGAGCGUAGACGGCAGUGCAAGUCUGGAGUGAAAGGCGGGGGGUCAACCCCCGGACUGCUCUGGAAACUGUACGGCUGGAGUGCAGGAGAGGUAAGUGGAAUGCCUGGUGUAGCGGUGAAAUGCGUAGAUAUUAGGAGGAACACCAGUGGCGAAGGCGGCUUACUGGACUGUAACUGACGUUGAGGCUCGAAAGCGUGGGGAGCAAACAGGAUUAGAUACCCUUGUAGUC
rnacentral:rRNA from 1 species